rnacentral:rRNA from 1 species
GAUGAACGCUAGCUACAUGCUUAACACAUGCAAGUCGAGGGACCGGCGCACGGGUGAGUAACACGUAUCCAACCUGCCCUUUACUCGGGGACAGCCUUUCGAAAGAAAGAUUAAUACACGAUGUAAAGGAUGGCGAUGCGUUCCAUUAGGUUGUUGGUGAGGUAACGGCUCACCAAGCCUUCGAUGGAUAGGGGUUCUGAGAGGAAGGUCCCUCACAGUGGAACUGAGACACGGUCCAAACGACUACGGGAGGCAGAAGUGAGGAAUAUUGGUCAAUGGGCUUUAGCCUGAACCAGCCAAGUAGCGUGAAGGAUGAAGGCUUAUGGGUCGUAAACUUCUUUUAUAUAAGAAUAUGUAUUAUAUGAAUAAGGAUCGGCUAACUCCGUGCCAGCAGCCGCGGUAAUAC